rnacentral:misc_RNA from 1 species
GAUGAAGAACGCAGCGAAAUGCGAUAAGUAGUGUGAAUUGCAGAAUUCAGUGAAUCAUCGAAUCUUUGAACGCACAUUGCGCCCCUUGGUAUUCCAUGGGGCAUGCCUUUUCGAGCGUCAUUUGUACCUUCAAGCUCUGCUUGGUGUUGGGUGUUUUGUCUCGCCUCUGCGUGUAGACUCGCCUUAAAACAAUUGGCAGCCGGCGUAUUGAUUUCGGAGCGCAGUACAUCUCGCGCUUUGCACUCAUAACGGCGACGUCCAAAAGUACAUUUUUACACUCUUGACCUCGGAUCAGGUAGGGAUACCCGCUGAACUUAAGCAUAUCAAUAAGCGGAGGA